UACGGGGGGAGCAAGCGUUGUUCGGAUUUACUGGGCGUAAAGGGCGCGUAGGCGGUCAGCACAAGUCAGUUGUGAAAUCUCCGGGCUUAACUCGGAAAGGUCAACUGAUACUGUGCGACUAGAGUGCAGAAGGGGCAACUGGAAUUCUCGGUGUAGCGGUGAAAUGCGUAGAUAUCGAGAGGAACACCUGCGGCGAAGGCGGGUUGCUGGGCUGACACUGACGCUGAUGCGCGAAAGCUAGGGGAGCGAACGGG
rnacentral:rRNA from 1 species